rnacentral:rRNA from 1 species
AUUGAACGCUGGCGGCAGGCCUAACACAUGCAAGUCGAGCGAGCGGCGGACGGGUGAGUAAUGUAUGGGGACUGCCCGAUAGAGGGGGAUAACUACUGGAAACGGUGGCUAAUACCGCAUACUAUCGGAUAACCCAUAUGGGAUUAGCUCGUGGGUGGGGUAAAGGGCUACCUAGGGAACGAUCCCUAGCUGGUCUGAGAGGAUGAUCAGCCACACUGGAACUGAGACACGGCCCAGACUCCUACGGAGGCAGCAGUAGGGAAUAUUGCGCAAUGGGCGCAAGCCUGAUGCAGCCAUGCCGCGUGAAUGAAGAAGGCCUUAGGGUUGUAAAGUACUUUCAGCGGGGAGGCGUUACCCACUGAAAAAGCACCGGCUAACUCCGUGCCAGCAGCCGCGGUAAUUC